rnacentral:misc_RNA from 1 species
GAUGAAGAACGCAGCAAAAUGCGAUAAGUAAUGUGAAUUGCAGAAUUCAGUGAAUCAUCGAAUCUUUGAACGCACAUUGCGCCCGCCAGUAUUCUGGCGGGCAUGCCUGUUCGAGCGUCAUUUCAACCCUCAAGCCCUCGGGUUUGGUGUUGGGGAUCGGCGAGCCUUUCUGGCAAGCCGGCCCCGAAAUCUAGUGGCGGUCUCGCUGCAGCCUCCAUUGCGUAGUAGUAAAACCCUCGCAACUGGAACGCGGCGCGGUCAAGCCGUUAAACCCCCAACUUCUGAAUGUUGACCUCGGAUCAGGUAGGAAUACCCGCUGAACUUAAGCAUAUCAAUAAGCGGAGGA